rnacentral:rRNA from 1 species
AACGAACGUUGGCGGCGUGGAUUAGGCAUGCAAGUCGAGGGAAUCCCAGCAAUGGGGGAACCGGCGUAAGGGGCAGUAAUGCGUGGGUACCUACCCUGGGGUUCGGCAUAGCCGUCCGAGAGGGCGGGUAAAUUCCGGGAUGACCUCGGGAGAGCAAAGAUUUAUCGCCCUGGGAGGGGCCCACGUGAUAUUAGCUAGUUGGUGAGGUAACGGCUCACCAAGGCGGAGAUGUCUAGCGGGUGUGAGAGCACGACCCGCGCCACUGGCACUGAGACACUGGCCAGACACCUACGGGUGGCUG